ACAAGAAGAAGAACAGUUGUGAGUUCUUCUGAGUUCUGAAUGCAUGCUUCGGUUCAAAGUUGGUUCUUAUUGAUAAGAACAAGAAGAAGAAGAACAGUUGUGAGUUCUUCUGCAUGCAUGCAUGCAUGCUUCGGUUCAAAGUUGGUUCUUAUCGAUAAGAACAAAAAGAAAAAGAACAGUUGUGAGUUCUUCUGCAUGCAUGUUUCGGUUCAAAGUUGAUUCUUAUCGAUAAGAACAAGAAGAAAAAGAAGCAUGCAUGCUUGGGUUCAAAGUUGGUUCGUAUCGAUAAGAACAAGAAGAAGAAGAACAGUUGUGAGUUCUUCUGCAUGCAUGCUUGCUUGGGUUCAAAGUUGGUUCUUAUCGAUAAGAAGAAGAAGAAGAAGAACGGCUGUGAGUUCUUCUGCAUGCAUGUUUGGGUUCAAACUUCUAUCAGCUCUGAACUGUGUGUAAUGGUCAGGUUGUUCUCUUUAGGCUGCUGCUGUAUAUUCUCGUCAUUGAUUUCUUCGGUCAUCCGAAGAAGAAGAAGAAGGACCUCGUAGGGUUUGCCACCGGAGCCGCCCGCCGUAGUGGUUGGUGUAGGUCUUGCCAUGGAGGGUGAAGGUGAUCUCUAUAGCGUCGAUGCUGUCGCCGGCGCGAAUCUUGAUGGUGGAGAUGCGGUCGGAGGGGCCCAUGUCCCAUGCCGACCCUCCGUUCCCUCCCCACGGCCCCACCUUGAUCUCUCCGUUCUGCAUCAUCAUCACCCAACACAAAACCCUAAUAAUUCACAGUGGAGCUCACCAUUUCUCCUAUGGAGAUGGGAACGUAUAUGUACUCCUUCCUUUCCUCCCUUCUUCCUCGUGGCUUUGGGAUGGGAAGGGGGGCUCUAUAUAGCUGAUUAAUGUGGAGGUCGAUCAUGGUCUUAUCCCAAUCGGGUCCAUUGCAAGCAAGGUCGUGUGGCUUUUCUUUGUCGGGUGGGCACAUCGACACCUCCCACGAGGAAAACGAGUCUGUCGUGAUGAGGUCUAUGCAUCCAUGUCGACGGUUCUAGAAAUAAUAAGACGUGGAUUGUGUUCCACUGACAUACCCACUUCUACCCUACGAUGAUUCGGACAUUUUAAUUCAUCCUAUCAACUUCAUACCCAACCGUGAUUGUUGUAAUGUAUAGAUUGGCAACGUUGUGAGAACUUUCUUUUCUUUCUUUUUUCUUAGGACUUGGCUGACUUCACUUGUUUAUUAUUAUACUAUUUAUAUUUUAAAUAAGGUCAGAUUUUUGGUCAUCCAUCUUUGUCGAAAAAUUAGAACUAAAUUAAUAUAUUCCCCAAAUAAUAAUGGC
rnacentral:lncRNA from 1 species